AUUGAACGCUGGCGGCAGGCCUAACACAUGCAAGUCGAGCGAGCGGCGGACGGGUGAGUAAUGUAUGGGGACUGCCCGAUAGAGGGGGAUAACUACUGGAAACGGUGGCUAAUACCGCAUACUAUCGGAUAACCAAUAUGGGAUUAGCUAGUAGGUGGGGGAAAGGCUCACCUAGGCGACGAUCUCUAGCUGGUCUGAGAGGAUGAUUGGCCACACUGGGACUGGGACACGGCCCAGACUCCUACGGAGGCAGCAGUGGGGAAUCUUGCACAAUGGGCGAAAGCCUGAUGCAGCCAUGCCGCGUGUGUGAUGAAGGCCUUAGGUUUGUAAAGUACUUUCAGCAGGGAGGCGUUACCCGCAGAAGAAGCACCGGCUAACUCCGUGCCAGCCGCCGCGGUAAUUC
rnacentral:rRNA from 1 species